GAUGAAGAAGUGAGAGAGAAAAGAGACUGUCGCAAGGAAGGACAAGCAGAAGAGGAAUAAUAAGGAAAAUAAGAGGAAAAAAAAGAAGGAUGCACAUGUGGGGACUGAUUAGCACUGUGCGGCAUGCGUGUGAGUCAGAGUGAGAGGAUUUGAGUAGAAGAGGGAAACAGUGUCACACAGUGGGAGAGGAUUGCUGCGGGAAGGG
rnacentral:lncRNA from 1 species